rnacentral:misc_RNA from 1 species
CUUAGAAUUUACCUCCUAAACUCGUUAUCAUAUAUGCCAAAAAUGCGUCAAGAAUUUCAAAAUCGCGCACAAGCAAGUUUGAAAGAACUAAAUUUCUGAUGCCCACGUGAUACUCUCUCUAAUCACCCAAUAGGAGAAUGAGCAAUUAUUCCUAUAAAAGACCAGACAAUCCUUUGAAAUGAAAUCUUGAAAGCUUAAACCCACCAAAAAGCAGAGAGCUUUGGCUUCUUUUAACCUUUCCAACGCAGAUAAUAACCAUAUUUAAAGCAGCCUUAAGUGUAACAUAUAUAAGAGGCUUUUGAGCAGGUUAAGCUUUUUCCUGGGAAAAAGAGAGAUACAGAGAGAGAAGAAAAGUUACACUACUCUUUAUCAGAUACCUUGGGCGUCUCCUUUUCCAAUACUUUCUUUUUCUUUGAAAAUCAGCUUUCUUCAGGCAUACAUUGGCAUUAAGCAAGAAUUUCUUCGUGCAAAAUGGGCAAGAUGCAUUUGCUUGCCGGGUCUGGCUGGCUUGCUAUCGUUCUUUGGUUCUUCUUCUUCUUCCUCAUUGCCUCCUCCGCGAAGACCCCGUUUAGAAAAAUUCUAAGGACGACUAAUAACAGCUCGGCUCUUGGAGUUCAGCUAGAAGUAACCAAACGUCAGAGAGUGGUGAUUGACAAUGGAAUUGUCCAAGUUACUUUCUCUAGGCCAGGCGGCGACGUCAUCGGAAUUAAAUACAAAGAAAUCGAUAACGUACUCGAAAUCGCUAAUGAAGAUGAUAAUCGAGGAUAUUGGGACGUGGUUUGGAACCGACCUGGAGAUCCCAUCAUCUAUGACAAGCUGCAAGGGACGGAUUUUAGUGUCAUAAUGGAAAAUGAAGACCAAGUAGAGGUUUCAUUCUCCAAAAGAUGGAGCCCUUCCAUGGGUAAAUCCACAGUUCCCUUGAACGUAGACAAAAGGUAUAUAGUUCGGCGUGGAAGCUCAGGGCUUUAUCUGUAUACCAUAUUGGAACGCUUAGAAGGAUGGCCUGAUGUUGAUAUGGAUCAAAUUAGAGUGGUUUUCAAGCUUCAAAAUAAGAAGUUUCACUUCAUGGCAGUAUCUGAUGAUAGGCAAAGGGUAAUGCCAACGCCUGAAGAUCGCGCCACUGGUCAGCCUCUGGCCUACCCUGAAGCUGUUCUCUUAACCAGUCCUAUCAACUCAGAACUUAGAGGAGAGGUAGAUGACAAAUACCAAUACUCCUGUGAGGCCAAAGACAACAAGGUGCACGGGUGGAUAUCGGAAGACCCACCAGUGGGAUUUUGGAUGAUCACACCCAGUAAUGAAUUUCGCGUUGGUGGGCCCAUCAAGCAAGACCUGACCUCUCAUGUGGGGCCUACUGUCCUUAAUAUGUUUACUAGCACUCAUUAUGCUGGGAAGGACUUAAAUACAGAGUAUCGAAAUGGAGAGCCAUGGAAGAAAGUUCUUGGCCCUGCUUAUGUCUAUCUUAAUUCUAUUUCGCCUUCUGAAGAUACCCAAGCUCUUUGGGAAGAUGCUAAAGAACAGAUGUCAACUGAAGUUAGAAGCUGGCCAUACAAUUUUCCUCAAUCUGAAGAUUUCCCUUCUUCUCAUCGACGGGGGCAUGUUUUAGGUCAAUUAAUAGUUCGUGACCGAUACAUCAGUGAAAGGUUAAUGUAUGCAAGUUCUGCUUAUGUGGGAUUGGCAGCCCCAGGGGAUGUGGGCUCAUGGCAAACUGAAGCAAAGGGUUAUCAAUUUUGGACUCAAGCUGACAGGAAAGGAAAUUUCUCAAUAAAAAAUGUCAGAGCUGGGAAUUAUAGUUUGUAUGCAUGGGUUCCUGGUAUCAUUGGGGAUUACAAGUAUAGUGUUAAUAUCACUAUUCAACAAGGAUCUAAGAUCAAAUUGGGUGUCCUCAUAUAUGAUCCUCCAAGAACUGGUCCAACUCUUUGGGAAAUAGGCGUUCCUGAUCGUACUGCUUCUGAGUUCUAUGUACCAGACACAUACCCAACACUCAUGAACAAAUUGUACACUGAUCACCCAACCGACAAAUUUAGGCAAUAUGGAUUGUGGGAAAGAUAUGCUGAUUUAUAUCCUAAGAACGAUGUCAUAUAUAACGUUGGUGUUAGUAAUCAUAUUCAAGAUUGGUUCUUUGCCCACGUUACCAGAGGGAUAGGAAACAAGACAUAUGAGGCAACAACAUGGCAGAUCAUAUUUGAACUUGAAAGUGUAAACCAAAGUGGAAAUUACACUCUCCAAGUAGCCUUGGCAUCAGCUACUAUGUCCGAACUUCAGGUGCGUGUCAACGAUGCCGAUGCCAAUCGACCCCUUUUCACAACAGGGCUAAUAGGCAAGGAUAACGCCAUUGCAAGACAUGGAAUUCAUGGUUUAUAUCGGUUCUAUAGCAUUCAAGUACCAAGUUCUCAACUUCUCCAAGGAAACAAUAUAAUUUAUCUUGCUCAGACGAGAAGUAAUAGCCCCUUCUUUGGCAUUAUGUAUGAUUACAUUCGCUUAGAAUCACCAACAGAAACUUGAAGAUGGGUUGGAAAAUAUUUAUUUAGAAAUGUUUAUUCUUUUUAUUUUUCAAGUAUAGAUAAUAAUAUUAAUAGAAAUUAAUUUUUUUUCUUGGUUAAUGCAUGACUGCGUCAUCUUGUCCAUGACCAUGAGCAUUUUUAAUCUUGAUCUUUGUUAUUCAAUUUUUUUUUUU